CCAAUACAAGAAAAUAUAUGGCUUACGGGUGGGGAUCUCCACCAUUUACAAGUAUUUAAACAGGAGGGGGUGGUGGUGACCCCCAGGGACUUUACCUACAUUUCAUUUGAUUUGUUUUAUUGUCCCAUACAAGAAUACAUGUGGUUUAGGGGUGGGGAUGUUGACCGUUUACAAGUUUUCAAACAAGAGGGGGUGGGGUGACUCCCUCGGGACUUCCCUUUUAUUUCAUUUCAUUUGUUUUAUUGUCCUCUACAAGAAUAUAUAUGGUUUAGGGUGGGGAUCUGGACCAUUUACAAGAUAAUAGCACAUUCUCAAAUUGAACAGGGUGGGGGAGGGGGGGUGCAACCCCCAGGAACUUCCCUUUAAUUUCAUUUGAUUAGUUUUAUUGUCCCAUACAAGAAUAGAUAUGGUUUAGGGGUGGGGAUGCUGACCAUUUACAAGUUUUCAAACAAGAGGGCGUGGGUGAGCCCCUAGGGACAUCACUUUUAUUUCAUUUCAUUUGUUUUAUUGUCCCCUACAAGAAUAUAUAUGGUUUAGGGGUGGGGAUCUGGACUGUUUACAAGAUAAUAGCACAUUCUCAAAUUGAACGUGGUGGGGAUGACCCCCCGGGGACUUCCCUUUAAUUUCAUUUAAUUUGUUUUAUCGUCCCAUUGAAGAAUAUAUAUGGUUUAGGGGUGGGAAUCUGGACCGUUUACAAGAUAAUAGUAUAUUCUCAAAUUGAACAGGGUGGGGGUGACCCCCAGGAACUUCCAUUUAAUUUCAUUUGAUUAGUUUUAUUGUCCCAUACAAGAAUAGAUAUGGUUUAGGGGUGGGGAUGUUGACCGUUUACAAGUUUUCAAACAAGACAGGGUGGGGUGAGCCCCUAGGGACAUCACUUUUAUUUCAUUUCAUUUGUUUUAUUGCCCCUCUACAAGAAUAUAUAUGGUUUAGGGGUGGGGAUCUGGACCGUUUACAAGAUAAUAGCACAUUCUCAAAUUGAACGUGGUGGGGAUGACCCCCUGGGGAUGUUGACCGUUUACAAGUUUUCAAACAAGAGGGGGUGGGGUGAGCCCCUAGGGACAUCACUUUUAUUUCAUUUCAUUUGUUUUAUUGUCCCCUACAAGAAUAUAUAUGGUUUAGGGGUGGGGAUCUGGACUGUUUACAAGAUAAUAGCACAUUCUCAAAUUGAACGGGGUGGGGAUGACCCCCGGGGACUUCCUUUUAAUUUCAUUUGAUUUGUUUUAUCGUCCCAUUCAAGAAUAUAUAUGGUUUAGGGGUGGGGAUCUGGACCGUUUACAAGAUAAAAGCAUAUUCUCAAAUUGAAGGGGGUGGGGAUGACCCCCAGGGACUCCCCCUAUAUUUCAUGUGAUUUGUUUUAUUGUCCUAUAAUCAUUUCUGAAGACUGCAUGUAUCUAUCACUUACAGUUUUUAAGUUAUAUUCAUUUGAAAAUUUUAGAAAAUAAAAUCCCAUAGGGUUCUAUAGUAAACCCCUCCCUCCUUUCUACCCCCCAAAAUACCCCUUAAUAGACCCAAAUGCACAAACGAAACAUUGAUGGCUCACCUAGACAUGUUAGUCUAACAUAUUGUAAAAUCCUAAGUAAAUCUGACAAGCCGUUUAGGAGAACCGCUGCGGACAAGUUCAUUUUUAAAGUGGCGGAAGAAGAAGAAGAAGAGGAAGAGGAAGAAUAACUAGAAUUGCCAUUGCAAGCAAUAGCGGAUGUCACCCUUCCCCCCAUUGCCACUAAGCGGCAGCCAUUUCAAAAACUUUUAACAGUGAAUGCACAUAUUUGCAUGGCUAUACAUUUUUCUGUAAAUUUUCAGUACAUUUAGAUCAUUUUUAAAAAUAUGACAUUUUUGCUGUUUCCAUGGCAACGGCAGCCAUUUUGAAAGUUUCAAAGUCAAAAGUCUCAUCUAUACAUGCCAGUUUACAAUAUUAUUAAGUUUCAUUAAGUUUGGAGCAUUUUGAAAAUAUUUGACAUUUUUGCAGUUUCCAUGGCAACGGUAGCCAUUUUGGAAAUUCCAACUUCAAAAGUUUCAUGCAGACUUGACAGUCAACAAUCAUAGUAAGUUUCAUUACUUUUUGAGCAUUUUGAAAUUUUUGAAAUUUUUGACAUUUUGGCUGGUUUCUAUGGUUACACAGACCAUUCCAAAUUUCUAAUGGCAGAUACCACAUUGGUACAUGGGAGGGAACAUACCAUCAGAGUUUCAAUGGAUUUGACCUACCCUUUUAAGAAAGUAAAUGCCACUUUUAGGUGUUUUUGGACCAUUUUGACCAUUUUUGCAUUGUUUCCAUGGAAACGGCAGACAUUUUGGAAAUUCCAACGCCAAAUUCCACAUGUACCAAUGUUGCUCAUCGUUACUGUGAAGUUUCAUUAAAUUUGGAGCAUUUCCAUAUUUUGGAAAUUUUUGGUGUAGUAUCCAUGGCAACAUAGCAGUUCCAAUGAUUGCCAAAAUCAUCCCAAAACCAGUGUAUAGUGGGCACCUACAUUGUAUCAAAAUCUAAAGAUUUUAAGCAUAACCAUUCUCAAAUAAUUGGCCGAACUCUAAAAUAUAUUUUUUCACCAUUUUCCUGUUUCCAUGGUGAUGGCAGCCAUUUUUUAGUUCCAAAGUUGCACUGCAACUGGAAAGUCAGGGUUCCUUGUUAUAGUGCACCAUCAUUCAGAUUGGUUCCUUUGGCUCCAAAAAAACUGCCGGACAAAAUUAGGUGGAAGAAAAAUCAUAAUAAUAAUAACUAGAUUUGCCAUUGCAAGCAAUAGCGGAUGGCACCCUUUCCCCAUUGCCAGGCCAGCGGCAGCCAUUUCAAAAAUUUUGUUGCUGUUUCCAUGGCAACGGCGGCCAUUUUGAAAAUUCGAAACUCAAAAAUUAAGUCUACAUAAGCUAGGCAACAUUUGUUAUAAGUUUCAUUAAAUUUAAAGCAUUUUGGAAGUUUUUCAUAAUUUUGCUGUUUCCAUGGUAACGGCGGCCAUUUUGAAUAUUCCAAAGUCAAACCCCCGCUGCAAUUUUUUGCCCUCCAUAAUCAUAUACCAUUUAAUGUCUCUAGAAUAAAUUUAACAUUGAUGUUCUGGAAUGUUCUGUGAAAAUUCAAAGUUUUGACCUUUUUGCAUUGUUUCCAUGGUAACAACAGAUAUUUUGGAAAUUCCAACGCCAAAUUCCACAUCUUCCAAUGUUGCUCAUCGUUACUGUGAAGUUUCAUGAAGUUUGGAGCAUUUUGAUAUUUUUGAAAUUUUUGGUGUAGUUUCCAUGGCAACAUAGUAGUUCCAAUGAGUGCCAAAAUCAUCCAACACCUGUAUAUAGUGGCCGGCACCUACAUUGUAUCAAAAUAUAAUGUUUCUGAGUUUAAGCAUAUCAAAACAGUUCACCAAAACAAAAAACAGGAUUUUUUCACAUUUGUUUCGUUUCCAUGGCAACGGCAGCCAUCUUGAUGGUGCCAUACCCCACUGCACUAUAGAAUGUGGUGGUCUACAUUAUGGUAUAGUUCCAUCAAUAUUGUUCAAGCCAAUUCCGAGAAAUAGAAUGGACAAAAAAGUGUGGAAGAAUAAAAAUAAUAAUAAUAAUAAUAACUAGAUUUGUAAUUGCUAGCAAUAACGGAUGGCACCCUUCCCCCAUUGCCAGGUGAGCGGCAGCCAUUUUGAAAAUUCCAAAGUCAAAUAGUGCAUCUACAGAUGUCUAGUAACAUUUUUGCAAAGUUUCAUUAAGUUUGAAGCAUUUUGAAAUUUUGGAUAUUUUUGCUGUUUCCAUGGUAACGGCGGCCAUUUUGAAUAUUCCAAAGUCAAACCCCUGCUGCAAUUUUUUCCCUCCAUAAUCAUAUACCAUUUAAUGUCUCUAGAAUAAAUUUAACAUUGAUGUUCUGGAAUGUUCUGUGAAAAUUCAAAGUUUUGACCUUUUUGCAUUGUUUCCAAGGUAACAACAGAUAUUUUGGAAAUUCCAACGCCAAAUUCCACAUCUUCCAAUGUUGCUCAUCGUUACUGUGAAGUUUCCUGAAGUUUGGAGCAUUUUGAGAAUUUUGAAAUUUUUGGUGUAGUUUCCAUGGCAACAUAGUAGUUCCAAUGAUCACCAAAAUCAUCCAACACCUGUAUAUAGUGGGCACCUACAUUGUAUUAAAAUAUAAUGAUUCUGAGAUAAAGCAUAUCCAAACAGUUCACCAAAACAAAAAACUGGAUUUUUUCACAUUUGUUCUGUUUCCAUGGAAACGGUAGCCAUCUUGAACCAUUCCAUGCUUCCUGCAACUCUGCAACUGGGGGUCCUUACUAUAGUAGAGUUCCAUCAACAUUGGUCCAUUGGAUUUCGAGAAAUCACCUGGACAAAAUUUGUUGCAAGAAAAAAAAUAAUAAUAAUAAUAAGAAAAAAAAGAAACGUAGAAUAACAAUAUGUCACCCCAACUCCGUUGAGGGUGCCAUAACUAGAUUUGUAAUUGCUAGCAAUAACGGAUGGCACCCUUCCCCCCAUUGCCAGGUGAGCGGCAGCCAUUUUGAAAAUUCCAAAGUCAAAUAGUGCAUCUACAGAUGUCUAGUAACAUUUUUGCAAAGUUUCAUUAAGUUUGAAGCAUUUUGAAAUUUUGGAUAAUUUUGCUGUUUCCAUGGUAACGGCGGCCAUUUUGAAUAUUCCAAAGUCAAACCCCCGCUGCAAUUUUUUGCCCUCCAUAAUCAUAUACCAUUUAAUGUCUCUAGAAUAAAUUUAACAUUGAUGUUCUGGAAUGUUCUGUGAAAAUUCAAAGUUUUGACCUUUUUGCAUUGUUUCCAAGGUAACAACAGAUAUUUUGGAAAUUCCAACGCCAAAUUCCACAUCUUCCAAUGUUGCUCAUCGUUACUGUGAAGUUUCCUGAAGUUUGGAGCAUUUUGAGAAUUUUGAAAUUUUUGGUGUAGUUUCCAUGGCAACAUAGUAGUUCCAAUGAGUCACCAAAAUCAUCCAACACCUGUAUAUAUAGUGGGCACCUACAUUGUAUUAAAAUAUAAUGAUUCUGAGAUAAAGCAUAUCCAAACAGUUCACCAAAACAAAAAACUGGAUUUUUUCACAUUUGUUCUGUUUCCAUGGAAACGGCAGCCAUCUUGAACCAUUCCAUGCUUCCUGCAACUCUUCACCUGGGGUCCUUCAUUAUAGUAGAGUUCCAUCAACAUUGGUCCAUUGGAUUUCGAGAAAUCACCUGGACAAAAUGUGUGGAAGAAAAAUAAGAAAAACUAGAUUUGUAAUUGCUAGCAAUAACGGAUGGCACCCUUCCCCCAUUGCCAGGUGAGCGGCAGCCAUUUGAAAAUUCCAAAUAGUCAAAGUCAAAUAGUGCAUCUACAGAUGUCUAGUAACAUUUUUGCAAAGUUUCAUUAAGUUUGAAGCAUAUUUUUGCUGUUUCCAUGGUAAUGGCGGCCAUUUUGAAAAAUUCCAAACUCAAAAGUCAAGUCUACAUAAGCUAGGCAACAUUUGUUAUAAGUUUCAUUAAAUUUAAAGCAUUUUGAAGUUUUUCAAAUUUUUGCUGUUUCCAUGGUAACGGCGGCCAUUUUGAAUAUUCCAAAGUCAAACCCCCGCUGCAAUUUUUUGCCCUCCAUAAUCAUAUACCAUUUAAUGUCUCUAGAAUAAAUUUAACAUUGAUGUUCUGGAAUGUUCUGUGAAAAUUCAAAGUUUUGACCUUUUUGCAUUGUUUCCAUGGUAACAACAGAUAUUUUGGAAAUUCCAACGCCAAAUUCCACAUCUUCCAAUGUUGCUCAUCGUUACUGUGAAGUUUCAUGAAGUUUGGAGCAUUUUGAUAUUUUUGAAAUUUUUGGUGUAGUUUCCAUGGCAACAUAGUAGUUCCAAUGAGUGCCAAAAUCAUCCAACACCUGUAUAUAGUGGGCACCUACAUUGUAUUCAAAAUAUAAUGAUUCUGAGUUAAAGCAUAUCCAAACAGUUCACCAAAACAAAAAACUGGAUUUUUUCACAUUUGUUUCGUUUCCAUGGUAACGGCAGCCAUCUUGAACCAUUCCAUGCUUCCUGCAACUCUGCACAUGUGGGUCCUUAUUAUAGUAAAGUUCCAUCAACUUUGGUGUUUUGGAUUUCGAGAAAUCGCCUGGACAAAAUGUGUUGCAAGAAAAAUAAUAAUAAGAAAAAAAAGAAACGUAGAAUAACAAUACGUCACCCCAACUCCGUUGAGGGUGCCAUAACUAGAUUUGCGAUUGCAAGCAAUAGCGGAUGGCACCCUUCCCCUAUUGCCAGGUGAGCGGUAGCCAUGGUAAUGGCGGCCAUUUUGGAAAUUCCAAACUCAAAAGUCAAGUCUACAUUAGCUGAGCAACAUUUGUUAUAAGUUUCAAUAAAUUUGAAGCAUUUUGAAGUUUUUUGUAUUUUUGCUGUUUCCAUGGUAACGGCGGCCAUUUUGAAUAUUCCAAAGUCAAACCCCCGCUGCAAUUUUUUCCCUCCAUAAUCAUAUACCAUUUAAUGUCUCUAGAAAUAAAUUUAAACAUUGAUGUUCUGGAAUGUUCUGUGAAAAUUCAAAGUUUUGACCUUUUUGCAUUGUUUCCAUGGUAACAACAGAUAUUUUGGAAAUUCCAACGCCAAAUUCCACAUCUUCCAAUGUUGCUCAUCGUUACUGUGAAGUUUCAUGAAGUUUGGAGCAUUUUUGAGAUUUUUGAAAUUUUUUGGUGUAGUUUCCAUGGCAACAUAGUAGUUCCAAUGAGUGCCAAAAUCAUCCAACACCUGUAUAUAGUGGGCACCUACAUUGUAUUAAAAUAUAAUGAUUCUGAGUUAAAGCAUUACCAAACAGUUCACCAAAACAAAAAACUGGAUUUUUUCACAUUUGUUUCGUUUCCAUGGCAACGGCAGCCAUCUUGAUGAUGCCAUACCCCGUUUGCACAAUUUCAUAUGUGGUGGUCUACAUUAUGGCAUAGUUUCCAUCAAUAUUGUUCAAGCCAAUUCCGAGAAAUAGCAUGGACAAAAAAGUGUGGAAGAAUAAAUAAUAACUAGAUUUGCCAUUGCAAGCAAUAGCGGAUGUCACCCUUCCCCCCAUUGCCACUAAGCGGCAGCCAUUUCAAAAUCUUUUAACAGUGAAUGCACAUAUUUGCAUGGCAAUACAUCUUUCUGUAAAUUUUCAGUACAUUCAGAGCAUUUUAGAAAAUUUCACAUUUUUGCUGUUUCCAUGGCAACGGCAGCCAUUUUGAAAUUUCAAAGUCAAAAGUCUCAUCUAUACUUGCCAGUUAACAAUAAUAUUCAAGUUUCAUUAAAGUUUCAAAGCAUUUUGAAAAUAUUUGACAUUUUUGCAGUUUCCAUGGCAACGGUGGCCAUUUUGGAAAUUCCAACUUCAAAAGUCUCAUCCAGACUUGACAGUCUACAAACAUAUUAAGUUUCAUCAAUUUUGGAGCAUUUUGAAAUUUUUGAAAAUUUUGACAUUUGUGAUGGUUCCUAUGGCAACAGAGACCAUUCCCAAAAUUUAAUGGCAUAUACCACAUUGGUACAUGGGAGGGACCAUACCAUCAAAGUUUCGUUAAAUUUGACCUACCAUUUUAAGAAAGUAAAUGCCACUUUAAGGUUUUUUGGACCAUUUUGACCUGUUUUGCAUUGUUUCCAUGGUAACGGCAGACAUUUUCAAAAUUCCAACGCCAAAUUCCACAUCUACCAAUGUUGCUCAUCGUUACUGUGAAGUUUUAUAAAAUUUGGAGCAUUUCCAUAUUUUGGAAAUUUUUGGUGUAGUAUCCAUGGCAACAUAGCAGUUCCAAUGAUUGCCAAAAUCAUCCCAAACCAGUAUAUAGUGGGCACCUACAUUGUAUUAAAAUAUAAUGAUUCUAAGUUAAGCAUUCUCAAAUAAUUCACCAAAACCCAAAAAUUUUUUCACCAUUUUUCCGUUUCCAUGGUGAUGGCAGCCAUUUUUUAGUUCCAAAGUUGCACUGCAACUGGAAAGUCAGGGUUCCUUGUUAUAGUGCACCAUCAUUCAGAUUGGUUCCUUUGGCUCUGAGAAAACUGGCGGACAAAAUUAGGUGGAAGAAAAAUAAUAAUAACUAGAAUUGCCAUUGCAAGCAAUAGCGGAUG
rnacentral:lncRNA from 1 species